CGAGCGGUAGCACAGAGAGCUUGCUCUCGGGUGACGAGCGGCGGACGGGUGAGUAAUGUCUGGGAAACUGCCUGAUGGAGGGGGAUAACUACUGGAAACGGUAGCUAAUACCGCAUAACGUCGCAAGACCAAAGAGGGGGACCUUCGGGCCUCUUGCCAUCAGAUGUGCCCAGAUGGGAUUAGCUAGUAGGUGGGGUAACGGCUCACCUAGGCGACGAUCCCUAGCUGGUCUGAGAGGAUGACCAGCCACACUGGAACUGAGACACGGUCCAGACUCCUACGGGAGGCAGCAGUGGGGAAUAUUGCACAAUGGGCGCAAGCCUGAUGCAGCCAUGCCGCGUGUAUGAAGAAGGCCUUCGGGUUGUAAAGUACUUUCAGCGAGGAGGAAGGCAUUGUGGUUAAUAACCUUAGUGAUUGACGUUACUCGCAGAAGAAGCACCGGCUAACUCCGUGCCAGCAGCCGCGGUAAUACGGAGGGUGCAAGCGUUAAUCGGAAUUACUGGGCGUAAAGCGCACGCAGGCGGUCUGUCAAGUCGGAUGUGAAAUCCCCGGGCUCAACCUGGGAACUGCAUUCGAAACUGGCAGGCUAGAGUCUUGUAGAGGGGGGUAGAAUUCCAGGUGUAGCGGUGAAAUGCGUAGAGAUCUGGAGGAAUACCGGUGGCGAAGGCGGC
rnacentral:rRNA from 1 species